rnacentral:rRNA from 1 species
AUGCAAGUCGAACGGAGAAUUAGCAAUAAUUCUUAGUGGCGAACGGGUGAGUAACGCGUGGGCAAUCUGCCCUUCAGAUGGGGACAACAUUCCGAAAGGGGUGCUAAUACCGAAUACGAUCUAACAACCGCAUGGUUGUUAGCUGAAAGAUGGCCUCUAUUUAUAAGCUAUCGCUGAAGGAUGAGCCUGCGUCUGAUUAGCUAGUUGGUGGGGUAACAGCCUACCAAGGCGACGAUCAGUAGCCGGUCUGAGAGGAUGAACGGCCACACUGGGACUGAGACACGGCCCAGACUCCUACGGGAGGCAGCAGUGGGGAAUCUUCCGCAAUGGGCGAAAGUCUGACGGAGCAACGCCGCGUGAACGAUGAAGGCCGUGAGGUUGUAAAGUUCUUUUCGGGAGGAGGAAUAAGCGGGGCAGGAAAUGGCCUUGCGAUGACGUGAAUCCCGGAAUAAGCCCCGGCUAACUACGUGCCAGCAGCCGCGGUAACACGUAGGGGGCGAGCGUUGUUCGGAAUCAUUGGGCGUAAAGGGCGUGCAGGCGGCCCUGCAAGUCCGGCGUGAAAUGCCCCGGCUCAACCGGGGAGACGCGCUGGAAACUGCGGGGCUGGAGUACAGGAGGGGAUGCCGGAAUUCCAGGUGUAGGGGUGAAAUCUGUAGAUAUCUGGAGGAACACCAAUGGCGAAGGCAGGCAUCUGGCCAUGUACUGACGCUGAGACGCGAAGGUGCGG